rnacentral:rRNA from 1 species
UACAUGUGGGGCAAGCGUUGUUCGGAAUUACUGGGCAUAAAGGGUGCGUAGGCGGCUUGUUAAGUCAGGGGUGAAAGUUUUCGGCCCAACCGGAAAAUUGCCUUUGAUACUGGCGAGCUCGAGUGCGUGGAGGGUAACCGGAACGAGUCGUGUAGCGGUGAAAUGCGUAGAUAUGACUCGGAAGGCCAACGGCGAAGGCAGGUUACUGGUACGCAACUGGACGCUGAGGCACGAAAGCGUGGGGAGCAAACAGGAUUAGAUACCCGUAGUAA